AUUAGAAUGUGGAAUCUGUUUU
rnacentral:miRNA from 1 species